AUGGAGGACGACGAGUAUGAGGAGGGGAUGGAGAUGGAUAUGGGAGGGCACCAGCACCUCCAGCACCGGGGGUACGGAGCUGAGGAGGAGGUCGAGGGGGGAUACGCCGGCGGCGGGGACGGGGAGGACGAGGAGGAGGAGGCGCGGGACGAGGAGGAGAUUACCCAGGAGGACGCCUGGGCCGUCAUCUCCGCCUACUUCGAGGAGAAGGGCCUCGUGCGCCAGCAGCUCGACUCCUUCGACGAGUUCAUCCAGAACACCAUGCAGGAGAUCGUCGAUGAGUCGGCCGACAUCGAGAUCCGCCCCGAGUCGCAGCACAACCCCGGCCGCCAGGCCGAGUUCGCCGAGACACUCCACAAGAUCAGCUUUGGUCAAAUCUAUCUGAGCAAACCAAUGAUGACUGAAGCUGAUGGAGAGACUGCUACCUUAUUCCCCAAAUCAGCAAGGCUCAGGAAUCUGACAUACUCAGCACCACUUUAUGUAGAUGUAUCAUACAGAGUUGUAAAGAAAGGACAUGACUGUGAAGAAGUUACAGAAACUGCGGAGUAUCCGAAAGUCUUCAUUGGAAAGGUCCCAAUCAUGCUGCGUUCUAGUUACUGCACACUGUUUCAACAAUCGGAAAAGGAUCUCACAGAACUUGGAGAGUGCCCUUAUGACCAAGGAGGAUAUUUUGUAAUCAACGGUAGUGAAAAGGUUCUCAUUGCCCAGGAGAAGAUGAGCACCAACCAUGUCUAUGUGUUUAAGAAGAGGCAACCAAAUAAGUUUGCAUAUGUGGGUGAAGUCCGUUCAAUGGCAGAGAACCAGAACAGACCUGCUAGUAGCAUGUUUGUUCGGAUGCUUUCCCGAGCAGGCGCGAAAGGGGGUUCAUCUGGUCAAUAUAUCCGUGCUACUCUGCCCUACAUUCGUGCAGAUAUUCCCAUCAUCAUUGUGUUUAGAGCACUAGGAUUUGUCGCUGACAAAGAUAUACUGGAGCACAUAUGCUACGAUUUCUCCGAUACACAAAUGAUGGAAUUGCUGCGCCCAUCUUUGGAGGAAGCUUUUGUCAUUCAAAAUCAGCAGGUUGCUCUUGACUACAUUGGAAAGCGAGGUGCUACAGUUGGUGUAACUCGAGAAAAAAGAAUAAAGUAUGCGAAAGAGAUACUUCAAAAGGAAAUGCUGCCCCAUGUUGGUGUAGGUGAAUUCUGUGAAACUAAAAAGGCAUACUACUUCGGGUAUAUUAUUCACCGACUAUUGAUGUGUGCUCUUGGUCGAAGAGCUGAAGAUGACAGAGAUCAUUACGGCAACAAAAGGCUUGACCUUGCAGGUCCAUUGCUUGGAGGACUGUUCAGAAUGCUUUUCAGGAAAUUGACGAGGGAUGUGAGGUCAUAUGUUCAGAAGUGUGUUGAUAAUGGGAAGGAAGUUAAUUUGCAAUUUGCUAUUAAAGCUAAAACCAUUACUAGUGGAUUGAAGUAUUCCCUUGCUACUGGAAACUGGGGACAGGCUAACCAAGCUGGUACAAGAGCCGGUGUGUCUCAGGUGCUUAAUCGCCUUACGUAUGCUUCUACAUUAUCACAUCUUCGGAGGUUGAACUCUCCCAUUGGGCGUGAAGGGAAACUGGCAAAACCUCGCCAAUUGCAUAAUUCUCAUUGGGGAAUGAUGUGCCCUGCUGAAACUCCUGAAGGACAGGCUUGUGGCUUGGUUAAAAAUCUUGCCUUGAUGGUUUAUAUCACUGUUGGUUCUGCUGCAAAUCCUAUUUUGGAAUUUUUGGAAGAAUGGGGCACAGAAAAUUUUGAGGAGAUAUCACCGGCAGUCAUUCCUCAAGCUGCUAAAAUAUUUGUGAAUGGUUGUUGGGUUGGAAUUCAUAGGAAUCCUGACCUAUUGGUGAAGACCCUUCGUCGUUUAAGAAGACAGAUUGAUGUCAACACUGAAGUUGGUGUCGUUCGUGAUAUCCGUCUUAAAGAACUUCGACUCUAUACUGAUUACGGGCGUUGCAGUCGCCCGCUGUUUAUCGUUGAAAACCAGAGGCUUCUAAUUAAGAAGAAACAUAUCCGAGCAUUGCAGCAAAGGGAGACUCCUGAUGAAGGUUGGCAUGACUUGGUUGCCAAAGGAUUUAUAGAGUACAUAGAUACUGAAGAGGAAGAAACUACUAUGAUCUCUAUGACUAUACGUGACCUUGAAACUUCGAGGCAUAAUCCAGGGGAGGCAUAUUCUGAGACUUAUACGCACUGUGAGAUUCACCCUUCAUUGAUACUUGGUGUGUGUGCGUCAAUUAUUCCUUUUCCUGAUCACAACCAGUCACCUCGUAAUACAUAUCAGUCUGCUAUGGGAAAGCAAGCCAUGGGAAUCUAUGUUACCAACUAUCAGUUAAGAAUGGACACAUUGGCCUACGUUCUGUACUACCCACAAAAGCCUCUUGUUACUACUCGUGCUAUGGAGCAUUUGCACUUCAGGCAGUUACCAGCUGGCAUUAAUGCAAUUGUUGCCAUUGCAUGCUACUCUGGAUAUAACCAAGAAGAUUCGGUUAUUAUGAACCAAUCUUCAAUAGAUCGUGGGUUCUUCAGAUCACUUUUUUUCCGCUCUUACAGAGAUGAGGAAAAGAAGAUGGGGACUCUUGUCAAAGAGGAAUUUGGUCGUCCAAAUAGGGAGAACACUAUGGGAAUGCGCCAUGGGUCUUAUGAUAAAUUAGAUGAUGAUGGCCUUGCACCACCGGGAACAAGGGUCUCUGGGGAAGAUGUCAUUAUUGGGAAGACGUCUCCAAUUCCACAAGAUGAUGCUCAAGGGCAAGCUACUAGAUACUCAAAGCGUGAUCAUAGUACUUCUCUGCGUCACAGUGAAAGUGGGAUGGUGGAUCAGGUUCUGUUGACAACGAAUGCUGAUGGUUUAAGAUUUGUCAAGGUUAGAAUGCGAUCAGUGCGCAUACCACAAAUAGGAGAUAAGUUCAGCAGUAGGCAUGGUCAGAAGGGAACUGUUGGAAUGACUUACACACAAGAGGACAUGCCAUGGACAAUCGAAGGCAUCACACCGGAUAUCAUUGUGAAUCCACAUGCUAUUCCAUCCCGUAUGACUAUUGGCCAGCUGAUUGAGUGUAUUAUGGGUAAAGUCGCGGCUCACAUGGGAAAGGAAGGAGAUGCAACUCCUUUCACUGAUGUUACUGUGGAUAAUAUCAGUAAAGCACUGCACAAGUGUGGCUAUCAGAUGCGUGGAUUUGAGACCAUGUACAAUGGUCAUACUGGGAGAAAAUUGACUGCAAUGAUUUUCUUAGGUCCAACUUACUACCAGAGACUUAAGCAUAUGGUGGAUGACAAAAUUCACUCUAGAGGUCGUGGUCCUGUCCAGAUACUGACCAGACAGCCAGCAGAGGGGCGCUCACGUGAUGGUGGUCUCCGUUUUGGAGAAAUGGAGAGGGAUUGCAUGAUUGCUCAUGGAGCUGCAUUUUUCUUGAAGGAAAGGUUAUUUGACCAGAGCGAUGCUUACAGAGUGCAUGUUUGUGAGAAGUGUGGACUCAUUGCCAUUGCCAAUCUCAAGAAGAAUUCCUUCGAAUGCAGAGGCUGCAAGAACAAAACGGACAUUGUCCAGGUCCAUAUACCGUACGCAUGUAAGCUCCUCUUCCAGGAGCUCAUGGCGAUGGCGAUUGCUCCCAGGAUGCUCACCCAUGAGGUCAAGGGUGCGAGGGAUAAGCACCGUUGA
rnacentral:rRNA from 1 species